CGAUUUUAAAGGCAGGAAUGCACCAAUGAAUCCCUUUGUAAAAGUAUGUUUCUUUUUGUUUAUAGCCCUGAAGUCCAAGGACACUGAUGUUGCAUAUUUUAGCUGGACUUUCCCUCCAAGUAAGAUGGUGAAGCUUCUUUCUCCUGGUAUCAGCUUUGUCUACUCUGCAGGCUGGUAUGCUCCUAGCUAGCUGCUGACCUUUAAAACAAACAAGGAAAGCCCCAUCACAAGCAGGCACUGGAAGGAAUAGCAAAGGAGGGAACGUGGAUUUUCUGCAUGUGGCACAGUGAGUCUUAUGUGAUGAUGUGGUGUUUAGACUUGUAUUCCACUCUCAGCUCUUGGGUGGGAAUCCUUUUUGUCCUGUUAGCCUGGGAUCUGAAGAUGGUUUAAAUAUGUACGUGUGUAUGUACAUGUAGCACCGUGAGGGAAAGGGUGUGUGGUUGGUGGGGAUACUGGUUAGGAAGUUGGAGCCUCUAUAGCCUAUUUAGGCUCACUGGAAACCGGCUCAUAUCAAUAACAUAUGUGAAAGAUGAGAAUCUGUCCCUAUGUCUAUAUAUAUAUGCCUGGUAAAUCCUGGACUAGGAGUCUUUCUUGGAAUAGCACAAGGAUUCCACAGGAUAGUCUUAGAAAUAGCCUAAUAAGCAUCAUCAGUGGGAGCAAAAAUCUGGGCCUUGCAUCAAGAAUUAUCCCAUAGCCUUUUACAUUGCUUGGGAUUUCAUAAUAAACUUUGACAAGUUCUUAGGUGCUUUCUGCUGAGGCAGCACAGAGUCCCAGUGUCAGCAAAGGCCUGUCAACUCUAGCAAAG
rnacentral:lncRNA from 12 species